rnacentral:rRNA from 1 species
AUACGGAGGAUACGAGCGUUAUCCGGAUUUAUUGGGUUUAAAGGGUGCGCAGGCGGACCGUUAAGUCAGGGGUGAAAAGUUCGGGCUCAACCUGAAUCGUGCCUUUGAUACUGGCGGACUAGAGUGCGAUAGGCGUGGCCGGAAUGUGGUGUGUAGCGGUGAAAUGCUUAGAUAUGCCACAGAACACCGAUCGAGAAGUCAGGUCCCGAGUUCGCAACUGACGCUCAUGCGCGAAAGCGUGGGGAUCAAACAGGAUUAGAUACCCUGGUAGUCCACGCCGUAAACGAUGAUCACUCGUUGCCGGGCAGUGAUGUUCGGUGGCCAAGCGAAAGCGAUAAGUGAUCCACCUGGGGAGUACGAUCGCAAGGUUGAAACUCAAAUGAAUUGACGGGG